rnacentral:lncRNA from 1 species
UUUGUCUCAAGAUGAAGGAGGACACAUUGCAGGAAUUGGUGAUCCUGUCUUCUCUUGGCAGAUUGACUACCUGGGAUCUUCCUUACUUCCUUAAGGUUAUCAAUGAUGCCUCAGUACUUUUGACACUUUUUCAGGUUAUGGUACUGUGGUCCAGUCCAUAACACUUGGGCCAUUAAAACUAAUCUGUGCCAUGUUUUUUGCUUUUUGAACCUUCUACGAUCUGACAGUGAUGUCCUUUUUGUCACAAACGUUAUCAGUGAUGGGACAAUGACCAAAGUAUUGGAUGGACAUUCCAUGCCCCCUACUAUUUAUAAAUUUUGGGUAUUGUUGAGCUUGGGAAGACUUCUGACUUUACUUCCCUCACCUCCUCCUGAUCCACACACCUCAGUAAGAGUGUGAAUAAGGUUGUGCCCAGAAAGGGAUUUUAUCAUUUCAACAACUUUCCAGGUAAUGAUCAGGAAAAAAAUUAUACAUAUGAAUAUAAGAUAAUUGGAGAAAAGAUAAAGUUGUAAUUACUCCGGGAUUGGAUGCAUUAAUUUUAUGGUAGUAGAAGGAGAGAAAAAAAACCCGGCAACCAGGGAGGGAACUUAGAUCCCAGAGGUAUACGGGAAAAGAAAUGAUUAAACCCACUCUAUCUUCUAGAUCCAGCACUGCUUCCUGAGUCAAGCCACAGCUUCAUCUGACAAUCUAAACUGAGGCUGAGUUUGUCAUCUCUGUUGACAUGCUAUAAAAAUGAAAUAAAACUCAGGCGAACAUGACAGGCCUUGACCUAUUCUGCUGUGCCUGAUGCCAUCAACAGUAGCUUCCAAACACAACAUUUACAAACACAACCUGUUUCAAUCUGACUGAUUAUGUGAUUCUCCUGAUGCUGAGUGGCCUUAAGUUGUGCCACGUGUGAUUAUCAAGGCUACAGUUACUCAGUGAAGAUACACAUGGGGCUUAACCAAACCAAUGUAAUGGUGAUCCAAAUCAGCUUUAACAACAAAUCCUCAAGAGAGUGACUGAAUAAUGACUUCAGGUCAUAUGUUUGUGUGUGCAUAGAUUGGGCUGUGAAAUUGGGGAUGAAGAUUGCUUUUUGGCCUUUUGUCCCCUGUAAUUAUUGGAAGACUCAUAGCAUCCCUUUCAUCACACUAUUUUGAUUAAGACAGUUACACAGGUCCCUCCAGAUUUGAGGAUCAAUGUCACUGUAAGUAUAUGGGUCAUGGGGGUCUAUAAUCAAAAACUAAAAAAAAAAUACAUGUUGGCAUGGAUGUGGUGAACAAGGAACACUUCUACACUGCUGGUGGGAAUGUAAACUAGUACAACCACUAUGGAGAUUCCUUAAAGAACUAAAAGUGGAACUACCAUUUGAUCCAGCAAUCCCACUACUGGGUAUCUACCCAGAGGAAAAGAAGUCAUUAUACAAAAAAGAUACUUGCACAUGCAUGUUUAUAGCAACGCAAUUCACAAUUCACAAUUGUGUUGUGCAAAAAUGUGGAACCAACCAAAUGCCUAUCAGUCAAUGAGUGGAUUAAGAAACUGUGGCAUACUACUCAGUCAUACUACUCAGUCAUAAAAAGGAAUGAAUUAAUGGCAUUUGCAGUGACCUAGAUGAGAUUGGAGACUAUUCUUCUAAGUGAAUUAACUCAGGAAUUGAACCAAACAUAUGUUUUCACUCAUAAGUGGGAGCUAAGCUAUGAGGAUGCAAAGGCACAAGAAUGACACAAUGGACUUUAGGGUCUUGGGGAAGGAGUGGGAGGAGGGUGAAGGAUAAAAGACUACAAAUUGGGUGCAGUGUAUACUGCUUGGGUGAUGGGUGCACCAAAAUCUCACAAAUCACCACUAAAGGACUUACUCAUGCAGCCAAACACCACUUGUUCCCCAACAACAUAUGGAAAUAAAAAAUUAAAAAGAAAAGAAGUACAUGGGGUCAGGUCAUGCCUGUAAUCUCAGCAGUUCGGGAGACUAAGGUGGGCAGAUUGCUUGAGCCCAGGAGUUCAGGGCUUGCCUAGACAACAUGUUGAAACCCAUCUCUACAAAAAAUACAAAAAUUAACUGGGUGUGGUGGCAUGUGUUUGUAGUCCCAGCUACUUGGGAGGCUGAGGUGGGAGGAUUAAUUGAGCCUUUGAGGUUGAGGCUGCAGUGAGCCAUGAUUGUGCCACUGCACUCCAGCCUGGGCAACAGAGUGAGACCCUGUCUAAAAAAAAUGAAGUACAUGAGGAAUAAAAUAUAUAUUGAUGCAGCCAUCUUUAGAAGAUAUAAUCUGCCACAUUUCAUUAUGACAGUAUUUUUCACAUCUAUUGAAAUUGCCUUCAAUGAUUCCUCCACAUCCAACUAUAAUGAAUCUGCUUAUUUCAAAUCUAAUUGUAUUCAAAUAUUGUUGUGCUAUUUAUUCAUGUCUCUUAAAUUGCUUUAUUAUUGUAAUCAUCCUUGGCAUUGUGUGAACAAAAUAUUUUCCUCAUUAAAAUUACACCCCUUGGAAAGUACACUCUAUAUGAGGAGGAUUUUGUUUUGUUCUUUGCUAUAAACUCAGAGUCUAGAACAGUGCCUGACAUAUACUAGAUAAUAAAUGCUUGUUGAGUGAAUAAAAGCAAAAGGUUAUGCCAGCUUUCCUCAAGCAGUCAGCAGGUAAAGUCCAUAAUCUGAGAGCCCAAAUUUGGGGUGAGUAGAAAGGUCGAAGAAUAGGUCAAAGAAACCAAGAAGAGUCAAGUAAGAAAUUAUCGAAGUUCAAGUGGUGUAUCCAUUGUUAUCGAGUUUUGGAACAUUUAAACUCAGCAGAAAAGGGUCUGUCUCACCAGGGACUAUUUUAUUAGCCUCUUCAUGUAUGCAGCAGUUUUAUUUACUUGGUCUUGGAAUUUGUAAAGGACUAUUUGGGAUCUAACUAUGGUACAUUGGACAGUGAGAUUCUUAUUCAUUCACUAGCACUUUCAUCUAUAUGAUCAUUUGUAAUUAUUCUACAAAACCCACAGACAGAAAUUAAUAGUCUCAUUAUAAAUUAUUUACUUGUCCCAGGUCACUGGAUUUUAAGUGGCCCUAAUUUGAUUCAAACUUAUUUAUUGCUUUUUCCUCUUUAGCUCAAUCGUCUUGACCAAUUUUCCAGUUAUCUAUUCUGAUUUAGUGCAGUUGGAAAAGACAAAGACAAAAUGUAUUUUCAUCCUGUGCUAAGUUACUGGUGGGACAGGCAACUGUCCAUGCAAGAGUGACUUUAGUUGCAUUAGGAUGUUUAACUACAAAUACUUCUCCCAUCAAGUUACUGAUUAUAAUAAUAGUUGUAAUUGUUACAGUUUUAGUAGUAGCUAGCAUUUAUUUAAAUGUAUUUAGUUGUGGUAGUGCUAAGCUGUUUCCUAAAUGUUUCAUUUGAACUUAUAGUUUGUCAACAUAAAACAGUGUAUUUCAUAUCUUUCAUUCAAUAAUUGUAGUUAACAUUUAAAGUGUAACUGCAAAAGUAAUAAAUUC